rnacentral:rRNA from 1 species
GAAUAUUGGACAAUGGGGGAAACCCUGAUCCAGCCAUCCCGCGUGUGCGGUGAAGGCCUUCGGGUUGUAAAGCACUUUUGGCCGGGAAGAAAAGGUCCUGGCUAAUACCCGGAACUGCUGACGGUACCUGCAGAAUAAGCACCGGCUAACUAAGGCCCCGCAGCCGCGGUAAAACGUAGGGCGCAAGCGUUAAGCGGAAUUACUGGGCGUAAAGCGUGCGCAGGCGGUUUGGCAAGAAGGAUGUGAAAGCCCAGGGCUUAACCUUGGAACUGCAUUCUUAACUGCCAGGCUAGAGUAUGUCAGAGGGGGGUAGAAUUCCGCGUGUAGCAGUGAAAUGCGUAGAGAUGCGGAGGAAUACCGAUGGCGAAGGCAGCCCCCUGGGAUAAUACUGACGCUCAUGCACGAAAGCGUGGGGAGCAAACAG